rnacentral:lncRNA from 1 species
AAUGCCUGCUGCUUCUCCAAGCCUUCAUGGAAGGCGAUUUCUUUCCAGCGCAUCUCCAGAGAUGGCUAGGCCCUGCUCUCCCUGGACACCCUGCUCUGUCCCAUCCUGAGGGACAGUGCCUAGAGCAGACUGGCCCAUGUCGUGUCCUUUCCCAAAGUCCAGAGGCAAGGAGACAGGCACUGACAGACAUUUGAGCCAGAUAAAUAGGAGAGGCCCAGGGGUUCUACUGGCUACACAAAGAGCAGACAGAGUUCAGAGAGGGAGUGCACAUCUAUGACCAGGAGUCCAGGGAAGAGUAAUGGAAGAAGAGAUAUCAGAGCUCAACUCAGUCCUUAAGGAGGCUGCUGGUCUGGCCGCCCUGAGAACCUGCGUUCCAUCUGGGCAAGCAGUGUGUCCCUCGCUAGUCCACGCCCAGAGCUCUGAGUCCCGUGGAGUCAGGAGAACUAGGGAGGGAAAUGUGAUCCCUCCUCACCCCCACCCCAAGCUGCCUGACCCUGCUGCACUGCCAGGUGCCUGAGAGUCCAUCUGCAAACAGCGCAGUCACCUACACCUUGCAAAGCAGAAUGGGCACUGACGGGAGUUCAGAGAGAGGUCUACUUCUCCCCGGAGUGGUUAAAGAAGUGGGGAGCCUAAAGUCUUCCAGUUGACCCUUGCAAUGCCAUUCUCUUUUGGAGGUGAGUCCUUCUUCCCCAAGCCCCUCCUGGAUCAGUGAGGACCAUCUAGAUUUUUGGACAGAAGACUGAGGAAGGGGCUUGAGGCUGAGGAGGCCUUCACUAUACUCUCCCCCUGGCCUCUGCAGAGCCCACACCUGGCAGUUCCUGUGUGUGAAUCCCAAGCAAUCCACACGUUCAGGUUUGAUUUGCCCUGUGGAGAAGCUUGGAGACCCCAGAGUGGAGGCAGUGAUGCCAAUGUCUACUUGAGUCAAGGAAGAUGGCAGCCAAAG